rnacentral:misc_RNA from 1 species
UCAACCAUCAAGCCUAGCUUGUCGUUGGACCCCUUUGCAGCUGAAAUAUGCGGCAGGUCCGAAAGAUAAUGACGGCGUCGUGUUUGACCCUAGAUGCAACGAGCUUUUUUAUAUAGCACGCAUUGAAGUGGUCGGCCGACCCGGUCUUUAACCAUCAUUUUCUAA